rnacentral:rRNA from 1 species
UACGUAGGGGGCAAGCGUUAUCCGGAUUUACUGGGUGUAAAGGGAGCGCAGACGGCAGUGCAAGUCUGGAGUGAAAGCCCGGGGCCCAACCCCGGAACUGCUCUGGAAGCUGUGCGGCUAGAGUACUGGAGGGGCAGGCGGAAUUCCUAGUGUAGCGGUGAAAUGCGUAGAUAUUAGGAGGAACACCAGUGGCGAAGGCGGCCUGCUGGACAGUAACUGACGUUGAGGCUCGAAAGCGUGGGGAGCAAACAGG